ACAGCUAUAGCAACACAAGUUCUCAUGAUCACCAAAGUUAAGUAAUGUAUAGCCUGUUCAGUACUUAGAUGGGUGACUGCUUGGGAAUACAAGGUGCUGUAAG